GACUUCAGCAAGUUAUUGGCACGUGGGAUAAUUGAACUCAAACUGAAUUUGAAUUGAACGGAAAACAUGCGCCAGCUCAAACAAUCAUCUUAGGUCAUACUCCGAUGAACCUCACCAUGGUCCACCGCGCCGGAAAUUGCCUCCGGCAGCGGUGGCCAUCCAAAAUGAAAAUUGGAUACACUGUUCCCCUCAUCUUGACCCUCUCGUCUAAAAAAUGCCAUCAAUUUCACCAGAGUUUGAGUCUAUAACCUUAACCGCAACGAAAUCACCAAGAACCCUAAUACUUCAAUCUUAAAUUAAAUUCCCUCUUUGAAGAUUCAAAGCCCAUGGGAUUGGGGCUUUGAAUCCACUUUCAUUUCUCUACAUGCUAGAAACAAGAAAUUGAUGGAAUGAGGAAUUCUAUACUCAUCAUGCCGAAGACCUUGAAGCUGAUGUCGAUGAUGGAACUCCAUGUAGGUGAGGUUAGGAUGCAUGGUUUGCUUGGUCCUGAUGUUGCAGGGUUGGUGAUGCAAUAGGUAAGGUGUUUUUGGCUUGGCAUUUGUUGCAGGCCUUGUGUAUGGUUCAUGUUGCAGGUAUGCAUUAGCUGGUAGGAUUGCAUUUGCUGCAAGUAGAUUGUAUGCACAAUUAGCAUGGCUUCGUUGGUGAUAUUAUGUUAUGUGAUUAGUUAACUUUGGUUUUGUUGCAAUGCUUUGAUGUUGAACUAUUGUAUAUGGAUUGUGGUUAUGCCAUUGCAGGUUUUGUAUGGUUGGCUAUAAGUGUGGCAUAUUAUUGAUUGCACUGCAAGAGGCUUGUAUUAACUGCUAUGCUUUUGAGCAUGUUUCAUAAUUAUUUAUGGAGUUGUGGUUCAUUGCAGAACUUGGCCUUAAUGCAUUACCAAGGCAGGUCCAGGAUUUAUAAAGGUAUUGUAUUUAAUGGUUUUUGUUUCAAUACUUGCAGGACUGACUUAGGUGAUUGUAACGUGAAUUAUGACUGCAACAAGUAUGCAUUAUUUCUGAUGUUGUAUUCUAGAAGACCUGGAUGUGGUGGAAGUGUUGCAGUAGGUUUUCUUGCAAGAUGAAGUGUUUGGCCCAAUUCAGAAUGGUAUUGACUUAUGGUUCAUGCAGGUCAUUUGAAUGUGUAUGGUUUUGCACUUGGUGUUGGUGGGACAUGGCAUGCACCAAGUGGCUUGCAAAGUGAAUGACACAAGUUUGAAUUUGGAGUAAAAGGCCAAUUCAAGGACCAAGGAUCAAAAUUGGCAUUUGGAUUAGAAUUAGGAUGUGAUUUAAGGUUUUUUAGGAUUGGGUUGACUUUGAUCAAAGUUGACCAAAAAGUCAAUGUUGACAAAAGUCACACAUUUGGUUAAAACUUCAUUUUUUUUGUUUUUCCUCAUGUAAUGGAUAUUUAUAUGAUUAUGUAAUGAAUGAAAUUGAUAUAUUUUGAAUAAAUUGGAUUGGUUCUGGAA